GUGUUGAGAGUACAAAUGAAGAACUGACUAAAAUUUGUGUUGUGAAUCUUUUUCAGAUCCAGUGCCUUAAGCCUGAAAGUCUACAUGCAUUGUUAAGAAAACUUGUUCAUGGAGGCAUGUGGACUAUUAUAGUUCACCCAAGUCCCCUCCUGGUUGACGGUCCACAUUUGGCUUCAGGCCCCUUCUUUCCUCCCCUGGGGCAAGGUCCUGGUGGUCUGAGUGGUGAGCCAGCUUGGGGACAUGUUCCUACAGAUGUGGAGCCAGGAUUCAGAUGGCCCUGA
rnacentral:lncRNA from 1 species